GGGGCUUCGGCCCCUGAGUAGAGCGGCGGACGGGUGAGUAACACGUGGGUAACCUACCUCCGGGCGGGGAAUAACUUCGGGAAACCGGGGCUAAUUCCGCAUAACAUUUCGGGCUCUCAAGAGUCUGUAAUCAAAGCUGGGGACCCUUCGGGGCCUGGCGCCUGGUGAGGGACCUGCGGCCGAUUAGCUUGUUGGUGAGGUAAUGGCUCACCAAGGCUGCGAUCGGUAGCCGGCCUGAGAGGGCGGACGGCCACACUGGGACUGAGACACGGCCCAGACUCCUACGGGAGGCAGCAGUGGGGAAUUUUUGUCAAUGGGGGAAACCCUGAACAAGCAACGCCGCGUGGAGGAUGAAGGCCUUCGGGUCGUAAACUCCUGUCGGAGGGGACGAAAGCGAUUGAGGCUAAUACCCUCAGUUGUUGACGGUACCCUAUGAGGAAGCCCCGGCUAACUCCGUGCCAGCAGCCGCGGUAAUACGGGGGGGGCAAGCGUUGUUCGGAAUUACUGGGCGUAAAGGGCGCGCAGGCGGCCCGGCCAGUCCUUUGUGAAAUCCCACAGCUCAACUGUGGAACUGCAGGGGAUACUGCCAGGCUUGAGUCCGGGAGAGGGGAGUGGAAUUCCCAGUGUAGCGGUGAAAUGCGUAGAUAUUGGGAGGAACACCGGUGGCGAAGGCGGCUCCCUGGACCGGUACUGACGCUGAGGCGCGAAAGCUAGGGG
rnacentral:rRNA from 1 species